GACGAACGCUGGCGGCGUGCCUAAUACAUGCAAGUCGAGCGGACCAAUAGAAGCUUGCUUCUAUUGGUUAGCGGCGGACGGGUGAGUAACACGUGGGCAACCUGCCUGUAAGACUGGGAUAACUUCGGGAAACCGGAGCUAAUACCGGAUAAUUCAUCCCCUCGCAUGAGGGGGUGCUGAAAGUCGGUUCACGCUGACACUUACAGAUGGGCCUGCGGCGCAUUAGCUAGUUGGUGAGGUAAUGGCUCACCAAGGCGACGAUGCGUAGCCGACCUGAGGGGGUGAUCGGCCACACUGGGACUGAGACACGGCCCAGACUCCUACGGGAGGCAGCAGUAGGGAAUCUUCCACAAUGGACGAAAGUCUGAUGGAGCAACGCCGCGUGAGCGAUGAGGGCCUUCGGGUCGUAAAGCUCUGUUGUUAGGGAAGAACAAGUACCGGAGUAACUGCCGGUACCUUGACGGUACCUAACCAGAAAGCCACGGCUAACUACGUGCCAGCAGCCGCCGUAA
rnacentral:rRNA from 1 species